UCACGGCUUGACAUAACACCGUCGCUCCCAAAAAAACAAAACCCCCUCCCGCUGCUCUUCACCUCUCAGAAAUCGAUUCCACGUCAAUCUCUCUCUCUCGUCACUUCCCAGCUCUCCCGAUUUCGCGUCUCUCCCGCUGCUCUGCUCCUUUACCAUCUCAGCACCAUCGCUAGUAGCAAACGACAAUCAGGUAUGAAUCUAGGGUUUAUAUUUGUUCCAAUUUUGUCAAUCUUUCGUAAAAUCUGGGCUCUAAAUUUGAACAAAUCCAGCCCCAAUUAUGACCUAUUUUCUUAUUUUUUUUUUGUUAGAAUCAGAAUUUAGUGGUGGAAUGUAAAUUUCUAUACUUCUGUACUAGUGCCCUCUAUUCUUCAACCUCUAAACCUCCUUCCCUUGGAAAAAUGCUAAAGGUUAUAUAAAAGUCGUAACAAGUAGUUGACUGACUUGUUUUAGUAAUCAAUUAAAGUUUAUGGGUCUAAUGGUGUUUUCCACAAAACUAAAUUUAAUUUAGAAUAAAUCUACCGUAACAGCAAGAUUAAUGGUCGGAAGGUAUGGGCACUAAUUCAGUCCGAAAAACAGAGUUCCUCUGUUUGUCUUCUUUUAUUCAUGUUAAAAAAGUGACGUAAUACUCUUUUUAAUGUUUAAUUUUUAAGACUGAAAUUUGUGACUGAAAUAGAAUAACAUGUUUAAGAAAUAUUUGUGCUUCCCUUUUUGGGAAAAGUUGGCUGUUUCAAAAUGUUUAGUUUUGGCUCUUGUGUUGAGAAGUUGAAGGAUAUUUUUGGGUCAAUUCCAAAAUGGCCGAAUUGUAUUAUUUAGAGUCAUUGUUACCUGCUACAUUAUUUCUAUUGAGUGUGGACUUAAUCAUUCUUUUAAAUUUAUUCUCAGGGAACUGUUGUUUAUUAUGGAUGCCAUGAACCAUGAAAUAGAUAGUUGUGGGGAUAAUGCAGAAAUGAAUUUAGACUGCAUUUACAAUUUUGAAAGGGAGAUGGAGAGGGAUGACUUGAGUGAAGAGGGGUUAGAUGUGAACAAUGUUACACCUGUUGUGUACUGGAUCUUUCAGGUUGUCCACAGAUGAAGGCAGCAAGACUGAAGGCAGUUCAUCUUCAAUCCCUUGUUGAGAAGGGGUAUUACAGAUGAAGGCAGUACAGGAGGUGGACAACUACAGCAGUACUCGUGUAUUCAAGUGGAUAUCUGAAUUUUACUCAGUGUCAUUCUAAUAUUAAGGUGUAAUUAGUGGUUGAAAUUGUGGUAAAUGGAUUAAUCUUUGUUUUUGGUAGGGGAAUAUUAAGUAAUUUUCUUGGUGGAAGUGUAUAUUUUAUCACCCAAAAAAAUUUAUAAAUAGAAUUUUGUUACCAACUGAUAAUGAAGGUAAGUUUUUUGUUGUUACUUUGCCUGGGUUUUCUAAUUUCUGGAAAAGAAAGUGGUUAUUAUUGGUACAGUGCAUUCAAAAGGUUGGUUCAUAAUCUAUCCAUUUAAAAUUUAUGAAUGUUAGACUUGAAUGCCAGUGGUUUGGCUUAGG
rnacentral:lncRNA from 1 species